CGUAAGUCAUCACUCUCCACUAGUGAUAGGGUAGAAGAAUGAGUGAGUUGCUAGAGCUGCAUUUUCCAGGCGACGUUGCAAUUGCAGGAAGGAAUGGUAUGAAUGAUGAUGGAUGGUAGAUGUGAGAAUGUGGGGGUACGAAUGUGGGGGUGUUUUUGAAUGGUAAUUUUUUGUUGAACAUUGUGUUGUGAUGGGGCUACCAACCCUUAACUGUUUUGGAGUUUAAAUUGGAAGUGCCCUUCUGGUACGAGGCCUGACCGGAGGGUUUUAAUCUGGUACCACGGGUAACCAGGAGCCCACGGAACUUGUUCCGUCCUGGUUAGUUGGUGCGGCCCUUCGGGGAGUAUCGUGGUGGUUGUGGUUUAACACCCAAAUGCGGGUAGAGCAUCGCUCGACGUGGAGUUGCGUCAUACAACCGGGUUCCGUGACCCAGAUUACGGAAGAGGCUUAGAUAGUCCUCGUGCCAAACCAAGGUAGAAGUCACAACCAAACAGUCGUGUCUUUAAUUGGUACCUGCGGAAUUGUUCCAAGGGGGCGGUGAUUGACGCUUGAAUUAAUCCUAUACUAGGAACCGUGAGAUUAAGCCAUCGCGGCAGGUGCUCACGUUAAGCCCACUGACUUUCAUGUCCCUAUCUACUAUCUAGCGAAACCACAGCCAAGGGAACGGGCUUGGAAUAAUUAGCGGGGAAAGAAGACCCUUUUGAGCUUGACUCUAAUCUGGCAGUGUAAGGAGACAUAAGAGGUGUAGAAUAAGUGGGAGAUAUUAGACUUCGGUUUGGUAUCGACAAUGAAAUACCACUACUCUUAUUGUUUCCUUACUUACUUGAUUAAAUGGAACGUGUAUCAUUUCCUAGCCAUUAUACGGAUAUAAUUAUUAUGUCUUAUGGUAUUGGGUUUUGAUGCAAGCUUCUUGAUCAAAGUAUCACGAGUUUGUUAUAUAAUCGCAAACAAAUUCUUUAAUGAGAGAAUGCAUUUAUGUAUUAUUGAUUUAAAAAUUUGGUAUAACUCCAAUUACUCAGGUAUGAUCCAAUUCAAGGACAUUGCCAGGUAGGGAGUUUGACUGGGGCGGUACAUCUCUCAAAUAAUAACGGAGGUGUCCCAAGGCCAGCUCAGUGCGGACAGAAACCACACAUAGAGCAAAAGGGCAAAUGCUGACUUGAUCUCGGUGUUCAGUACACACAGGGACAGCAAAAGCUCGGCCUAUCGAUCCUUUUGGUUUAAAGAGU
rnacentral:ncRNA from 1 species